GGCACAACUCCUGCUCCGUUCCUGGCUUCAUUUUCCUCUGUUGGGCCGAAUACUAUUACACCUCAGAUCCUGAAGCCUGAUAUUACUGCCCCUGGAGUGAAUGUCAUAGCUGCCUACACUGAAGCAACAAGUCCUACUGGUCUAGAACUUGAUAAGCGUAGGACUCCUUUUAUCUCUAUGUCUGGUACAUCCAUGUCCUGU
rnacentral:misc_RNA from 1 species